CUUUUUGGUGGCCAUGCGCAGGGCUUCUUCGGAGGCGCCGGUUCCGAUACCCGGUCUACCAACCUUCGUAUGGCCACCGCCCUU
rnacentral:antisense_RNA from 2 species